rnacentral:rRNA from 1 species
CAGUAGCCACGGGAACACAGAGGAUGCAAGCGUUAUCCGGAAUGAUUGGGCAUAAAGCGUCUGUAGGUAGCUUCUCAAGUCUGCUGUCAAAUCCCAGGGCUCAACCCUUGACAGGUGGUGGAAACUACCAAGCUGGAGUACGAUAGGGGUAGAGGGAAUUUCUGGUGGAGUGGUGAAAUGCGUUGAGAUCGGAAAGAACACCAACGGCGAAAGCACUCUGCUGGGCCGACACUGACACUGAGAGACGAAAGCUAGGGGAGCAAAUGGGAUUAGAUACCCCCGUAGUCCCUGUCUCUUAUAC